UACGUAGGUCCCGAGCGUUGUCCGGAUUUAUUGGGCGUAAAGCGAGCGCAGGUGGUUUAUUAAGUCUGGUGUAAAAGGCAGUGGCUCAACCAUUGUAUGCAUUGGAAACUGGUAGACUUGAGUGCAGGAGAGGAGAGUGGAUUCCAUGUGUAGCGGUGAAAUGCGUAGAUAUAUGGAGGAACACCAGUGGCGAAGGCGGCCUGCUGGACGAUGACUGACGCUGAGGCUCGAAAGCGUGGGGAGCAAACAGG
rnacentral:rRNA from 1 species